GAUGCUAUUUCCUAGCCAGCUAAAGGACCUCUGAUGACGUCAUGCCCAUGUGACCAGACUCGAGUAGGCGGAGCCAGUCUGGAGUCUGCAAGAAGCACAGUUGAUUUCCCGGGCUUUUGAGUGGUUUGAUCUGGUGAGGACAAGGGCAGAAGCAGGUGCAUGGUCUGGUCAUAUCAGAGGCAGACAACAAUAGGGGUUGACGCGCGUUACCAGAAAGAUACCUGGUGGUGAUGUUUCCUGAGAACAUCGAGCCUUAGGGAAAAUGCAAAAGAAUGGAUAUUGUAUGAAAGGUUUCAGUUGGCUUCUUACAUUUGCUUUCUUGAAGAUUGAAUGGAUCAUGUCACCUCGUUCACAACAUCAUAUGCUUAUAUUCUGUAAUUAUUUUUUUUUACCAUUGUUAUGCACUUGUCAUAAUUUUUAUUUCGUUAUGCACUUGUAUUGAGCAUCUCUAACCCCUUAACUACAUGUGACGUAAAUUUGCGU